rnacentral:rRNA from 1 species
UACGUAGGAGGCAAGCGUUGUCCGGAGUUACUGGGCGUAAAGCGUGUGUAGGCGGUCGGAUGCGUCCGGUGUGAAAUCCCCCGGCUUAACUGGGAGGGGGCAUCGGAUACGGUCGGACUUGAGGGCAUCAGAGGCCAGUAGAAUUCCCGGUGGAGCAGUGAAAUGGGUAGAGAUCGGGAAGAAUACCAGUGGUGAAGACGGCUGGCUGGAGUGUGACUGACGCUGAGACACGAAAGCGUGGGGAGCAAACAGG